rnacentral:tRNA from 1 species
CCGGCGAGGGGGUGUCGCUCCGGCCGCCCCAGGUGCGGUCGGCCGGCUCGGGGUCGGUGGGCCGGGGCGGCUCCAGGCCGCUCCGGCCGGU